rnacentral:rRNA from 1 species
GACGAACGCUGGCGGCGUGCUUAACACAUGCAAGUCGAACGGAAAGGCCCUGCUUUUGUGGGGUGCUCGAGUGGCGAACGGGUGAGUAACACGUGAGUAACCUGCCCUUGACUUUGGGAUAACUUCAGGAAACUGGGGCUAAUACCGGAUAGGAGCUCCUGCUGCAUGGUGGGGGUUGGAAAGUUUCGGCGGUUGGGGAUGGACUCGCGGCUUAUCAGCUUGUUGGUGGGGUAGUGGCUUACCAAGGCUUUGACGGGUAGCCGGCCUGAGAGGGUGACCGGCCACAUUGGGACUGAGAUACGGCCCAGACUCCUACGGGAGGCAGCAGGGGGGAAUAUUGCACAAUGGGCGGAAGCCUGAUGCAGCAACGCCGCGUGCGGGAUGACGGCCUUCGGGUUGUAAACCGCUUUCGCCUGUGACGAAGCGUGAGUGACGGUAAUGGGUAAAGAAGCACCGGCUAACCACGUG